GUCUUCUUGAACCAUAUAAAUUAGCCUUGCCCUUCUGAGUUUUGAUAGACUGCUGUUCGUCAUCGAGCUGUUCAGCAACUCAUUAAGGUGGGGUCUGAAGAUUCUGUGAAGAUUUUGGAUAAAAAUGAACUUCAAAUGGAUCUGGCUGCUGGCCAUUCUCCUGAUCGUAGGAUUAGCUAGUGUGGCAGAUGCCAGGCGUGGCCGAGGUGGCCGAGGAGGUCGAGGUGGCCGAGGUGGCUUUCGCCGUGGCUUUCGCCGAGGUUGGCGCUGGGGCCGCCGGUGGGGCCGAGGCUGAGGAGCAAAUUAGAACGAAAUGAAGUCACAGACCAGGAACGACUGACAACGGCAUCCCUCCAAGACAAAAACAGAAAACAAAAUGCUAGCAUAGCAGUUCCUUUCUACAUUUCCUGCUCUCUACCCUGAUUUACUGAUUCUUUACUUGCCAGGGAGGUCAGUCCAUAUCUGUCUGCAUACAACAACUGCAAUUCAUCUCCUCCAAAGGCUAUAAACCAGGCAUAG